rnacentral:rRNA from 1 species
GGGUUGUGAGGUUAAGCGACUAAGCGUACACGGUGGAUGCCCUGGCAGUCAGAGGCGAUGAAGGACGUGCUAAUCUGCGAAAAGCGUCGGUAAGGUGAUAUGAACCGUUAUAACCGGCGAUGUCCGAAUGGGGAAACCCAGUGCAAUUCGUUGCACUAUCGUUAACUGAAUACAUAGGUUAACGAGGCGAACCGGGGGAACUGAAACAUCUAAGUACCCCGAGGAAAAGAAAUCAACCGAGAUUCCCCCAGUAGCGGCGAGCGAACGGGGAGCAGCCCAGAGUCUGAAUCAGCUUGUGUGUUAGUGGAACGGUCUGGAAAGUCCGACGGUACAGGGUGAUAGUCCCGUACACCAAAAUGCACAGGCUGUGAACUCGAAGAGUAGGGCGGGACACGUGGUAUCCUGUCUGAAUAUGGGGGGACCAUCCUCCAAGGCUAAAUACUCCUGACUGACCGAUAGUGAACCAGUACCGUGAGGGAAAGGCGAAAAGAACCCCGGCGAGGGGAGUGAAAAAGAACCUGAAACCGUGUACGUACAAGCAGUGGGAGCACCUUCGGGUGUGACUGCGUACCUUUUGUAUAAUGGGUCAGCGACUUAUAUUCUGUAGCAAGGUUAACCGUAUAGGGGAGCCGCAGGGAAACCGAGUCUUAACUGGGCGUUAAGUUGCAGGGUAUAGACCCGAAACCCGGUGAUCUAGCCAUGGGCAGGUUGAAGGUUGGGUAACACUAACUGGAGGACCGAACCGACUAAUGUUGAAAAAUUAGCGGAUGACUUGUGGCUGGGGGUGAAAGGCCAAUCAAACCGGGAGAUAGCUGGUUCUCCCCGAAAGCUAUUUAGGUAGCGCCUCGUGAACUCAUCUUCGGGGGUAGAGCACUGUUUCGGCUAGGGGGUCAUCCCGACUUACCAACCCGAUGCAAACUACGAAUACCGAAGAAUGUUAUCACGGGAGACACACGGCGGGUGCUAACGUCCGUCGUGAAGAGGGAAACAACCCAGACCGCCAGCUAAGGUCCCAAAGUCAUGGUUAAGUGGGAAACGAUGUGGGAAGGCACAGACAGCCAGGAUGUUGGCUUAGAAGCAGCCAUCAUUUAAAGAAAGCGUAAUAGCUCACUGGUCGAGUCGGCCUGCGCGGAAGAUGUAACGGGGCUAAACCAUGCACCGAAGCUGCGGCAGCGACACUAUGUGUUGUUGGGUAGGGGAGCGUUCUGUAAGCCUGCGAAGGUGUGCUGUGAGGCAUGCUGGAGGUAUCAGAAGUGCGAAUGCUGACAUAAGUAACGAUAAAGCGGGUGAAAAGCCCGCUCGCCGGAAGACCAAGGGUUCCUGUCCAACGUUAAUCGGGGCAGGGUGAGUCGACCCCUAAGGCGAGGCCGAAAGGCGUAGUCGAUGGGAAACAGGUUAAUAUUCCUGUACUUGGUGUUACUGCGAAGGGGGGACGGAGAAGGCUAUGUUAGCCGGGCGACGGUUGUCCCGGUUUAAGCAUGUAGGCUGGUUAUCCAGGCAAAUCCGGAUAAUCAAGGCUGAGGUGUGAUGACGAGGCACUACGGUGCUGAAGUAACAAAUGCCCUGCUUCCAGGAAAAGCCUCUAAGCAUCAGGUAACAUCAAAUCGUACCCCAAACCGACACAGGUGGUCAGGUAGAGAAUACCAAGGCGCUUGAGAGAACUCGGGUGAAGGAACUAGGCAAAAUGGUGCCGUAACUUCGGGAGAAGGCACGCUGGUGUGUAGGUGAAGCCCCUGCGGGUGGAGCUGAGACCAGUCGAAGAUACCAGCUGGCUGCAACUGUUUAUUAAAAACACAGCACUGUGCAAACACGAAAGUGGACGUAUACGGUGUGACGCCUGCCCGGUGCCGGAAGGUUAAUUGAUGGGGUUAUCCGUAAGGAGAAGCUCUUGAUCGAAGCCCCGGUAAACGGCGGCCGUAACUAUAACGGUCCUAAGGUAGCGAAAUUCCUUGUCGGGUAAGUUCCGACCUGCACGAAUGGCGUAAUGAUGGCCAGGCUGUCUCCACCCGAGACUCAGUGAAAUUGAACUCGCUGUGAAGAUGCAGUGUACCCGCGGCAAGACGGAAAGACCCCGUGAACCUUUACUAUAGCUUGACACUGAACAUUGAGCCUUGAUGUGUAGGAUAGGUGGGAGGCUUUGAAGCGUGGACGCCAGUCUGCGUGGAGCCAACCUUGAAAUACCACCCUUUAAUGUUUGAUGUUCUAACGUUGGCCCCUUAUCGGGGUUGCGGACAGUGUCUGGUGGGUAGUUUGACUGGGGCGGUCUCCUCCCAAAGCGUAACGGAGGAGCACGAAGGUUAGCUAAUCCUGGUCGGACAUCAGGAGGUUAGUGCAAUGGCAUAAGCUAGCUUGACUGCGAGCGUGACGGCGCGAGCAGGUGCGAAAGCAGGUCAUAGUGAUCCGGUGGUUCUGAAUGGAAGGGCCAUCGCUCAACGGAUAAAAGGUACUCCGGGGAUAACAGGCUGAUACCGCCCAAGAGUUCAUAUCGACGGCGGUGUUUGGCACCUCGAUGUCGGCUCAUCACAUCCUGGGGCUGAAGUAGGUCCCAAGGGUAUGGCUGUUCGCCAUUUAAAGUGGUACGCGAGCUGGGUUUAGAACGUCGUGAGACAGUUCGGUCCCUAUCUGCCGUGGGCGCUGGAGAAUUGAGGGGGGCUGCUCCUAGUACGAGAGGACCGGAGUGGACGCAUCACUGGUGUUCGGGUUGUCAUGCCAAUGGCACUGCCCGGUAGCUAAAUGCGGAAGAGAUAAGUGCUGAAAGCAUCUAAGCACGAAACUUGCCCCGAGAUGAGUUCUCCCUGAGACUUUAAGUCUCCUGAAGGAACGUUAAAGACGAUGACGUUGAUAGGCCGGGUGUGUAAGCGCAGCGAUGCGUUGAGCUAACCGGUACUAAUGAACCGUGAGGCUUAACCUUACAACGCCGAAG